CAAAUUUACGUCAACGUCCGUUACGUUGGUGACGUCACCGCGAGCGCGAGAAGUCGAAGUGAGGAGCAGAAAGCGGUGUUAGUGUUAGUUCUGGCCCGUUUGGACCCAAACUAAAGUGAGUUUAUUCGGUUCUGUGUAACCGAACCCGUUCUGUUCUGUGCUGUAUUGUGUGUAUGUGUGUAGUUAACGGUGUUAACACCUGUGUUUCAGGUGUAUCGGUAUGAAGCAGGCGGUGACGGCGCACUGAUUCACUCUCGGAGCUCGGUUCACUAAUGACCGAAUCACCGAGGAACCGACCAAAGAUAACUCACACCCGCACGGAGAAGAAGAAUAAGAGGAGGAGAAGAUGAGCUGGAGUGGGGCAAAGAGAACUGCAUUCAGAUCAAAUGGAUACGAGAGGUGGCUGAGUUGUUUGAGGAUCUGAAGAAUCGAGUGUCACAAUUCAACAUGCACAUCAGCGAAACUUCUCCCUCUGACUACACCAGCAGAAAAAUUCAUAGUGCAGGUGGCGAUUGCAGGCGCAUUUUAUCCGAACUGCUUCCUCCAGGGAACUGUGGACGAGGAGCUCGCCUCCAAGGAGCUCUAUGGAAACGACCCCAGGACCACCGUAGUGGUAUUCAGUCAGCUUCCAUUUAACUAGGGGAUUAUUAUUAUUAUUAAUAAUAUUUCUCUCUCUCCCUCCCUCUCUCUCUCUCAGGUGUGUAAUCUCCCUCCAUUUGCAUUCCUCUACUAUAAACAGCUCCAGUCUCUCUUCAGACACUGUGGUUAAGUCAAAUCCAUCUCCUUUGACAGCUCCAGGGCCUAUGUAGAGUUCUACCGCUCGUCAAUGAGAGGUUCUGGCGUUCUCCCAGAGGUCUCUCUGUCUCUCCUCCUCGCGCAGCAGAGACUUCCUCUCCAUCUCAACGUUUAACCUGCUGGAGAGGUGGAGACUUGGGCAGGGGGGUAGUGUAUCUCACACCUCAGAUAUACACGGGUGAAUGUGGAUUUUCAGAAUCAGUCAGUGAGCCCUGUCGGGGUUCUGAGCAGCUCCAUUGAGCUGGAGAAUCUUCCGUCUAACCCUGUCUUUAUCGUCAAUAUCACCGAGGUCAUCAAAGUCGGGCAUUUCUGGGGUUUCCAGGCUCACGAGGCAAGUCUGGAGAAACAGAGGUGGCUGACAGUGGCCGUUAAUACACGGGCGCUCUGCCCACUUCCUGUCUCACUUUAUUCAAAUCUUCUGUGUCUCGCCCCUUUCUCUGAAACUCACACCAAACCUGGGAACUACUACAGAGCCAAAAUACUGCAUGUCAUGGGGAGUAAUGUGGAGGUAUUCUUUGUGGACUUUGGAAACACUUCCAAGGUGCCAUGUAACUCUCUCUGGAACUUCCUGCUGACCGGCAAGCUCUGCCCUUUCAGGCUCAGGAGUUCAGCGUGGCGUGUUUGGCAUCAUCGGCACAGUUGUGUUUGAGUUGUGCAGGCUUGUGUCACCUGACUUGAAGGCAUUGUUUGAAGGGCUUGAUCAGCACCUCCCAUGGCUCCUGCCAGCAAGCGAGGCACGGUUCUGGAAAGUCUGGAGAAAGUAUGGAAAUUUUU